AUGGCAAGAAGCUUGCUGAAGAGCAAAGGGUUACCUGGUCAGUUUUGGGGUGAAGCAAUAGCUACUGCAGUGUACUUGCUGAAUCGAGCACCAACAAAAAGUGUCUGUGGCAUGACCCCAUAUGAAGCCCUGUACAAGGUGAAGCCGAGAGUAGAUCACCUGCGCACGUUUGGAUGCAUUGGUCAUGUAAAGAAGGUCGGGUGGCAUCUUCCAAAACUUGUUGACCGGAGUUCAGAGAUGGUGUUUAUUGGUUAUGAGCCAAACAGUAAAGCAUACAGAUUAUUUGAUCCAUGCACGAAGAAACUGUGUGUAUCUCGAGAUGUUGUGUUCGAAGAGGAUAGAUGCUGGGAAUGGACCCCCGGCGAUAUUGUGGGGAGGUCGGAGACUUUGUCAGUGCAGUACAAUGUACACCUCGAUGAUGCACAUACUGUUGCCCAGCCAAAGCAUACUGUUCAUCAUCCGACAACAGAAAGUCUGAAGGAGAACAGACUCACAUCUGAAGAAAUAGCUGCAGGUUUUAGACCAGAGGAUUUUGUCACCCCUGCCAGAGAUGAAGCAUCUUCUGGACCUCGGUUUGUGUCACCUCCUACUGGUGCCUCGACGCCAACGACCACUGAGGGACCACGCAGGUACCGCCUCCUGGAAGAAGUCAUCGAAGAAGCACCGGUGGCUACUCUGACAGACUCGUGUUUGCUCGGCAUCGAAGAGCCAACAUCUGUUGAAGAUGCGAGCAAGGAGGCAGCAUGGAAAAAUGCUAUGCAAACAUAG
rnacentral:rRNA from 1 species